UGGGGAAUAUUGCACAAUGGGCGAAAGCCUGAUGCAGCAACGCCGCGUGAGUGAUGAAGGCCUUCGGGUUGUAAAGCUCUGUCUUCUGGGACGAUAAUGACGGUACCAGAGGAGGAAGCCACGGCUAACUACGUGCCCGCAGCCGCGGUAAUACGUAGGUGGCAAGCGUUGUCCGGAUUUACUGGGCGUAAAGGAUGCGUAGGCGGAUACUUAAGUCAGAUGUGAAAAUCCCGGGCUUAACUUGGGAACUGCAUUUGAAACUGGGUAUCUAGAGUGCGGGAGAGGACAGUGGAAUUCCUAGUGUAGCGGUGAAAUGCGUAGAGAUUAGGAAGAACACCAGUGGCGAAGGCGACUGUCUGGACCGUAACUGACGCUGAGGCAUGAAAGCGUGGGGAGCAAACA
rnacentral:rRNA from 1 species